rnacentral:lncRNA from 1 species
GUUUGUUACAUGCCAUCUAUUAUAAUGGGUUGGGUCGAAUUAGAUAUAAUCGUGACUGAUUUAGUGAAAUGAGAUCGGUUGUCCUUUUUAUAAUUCGAAUAAAAGAACAUGAUCAUUUCAGAUAUCCUAUGUUCAAAUAUCACUAUUACAAAAAUAUUUUUUAAUAACAAUAAAUAUGUAUUUUAACAAAGACUGCUAUAAAUUUUACCAGCAUUAGUUAAUUGACAUUAGAUUCAAUGUCGCUAUAGAC